rnacentral:lncRNA from 1 species
AAAAUUAUAAACUCUGGGGCAUGGCAUACUUUCAGUGGUGCCUACAUCUCCCAUACUUGGCAAAAAGUCCAGGAUAACACCAGGCAAUACGCAAAAGAGAUGACCUUCUGAGAAAGUCAGAAGGUGAUUUCCUGCAGGCAAGGAAAGGCAUCAAAGCAAAAGUGGCUGAGGUGGAGCACCUUGACAGUGUGGUCAAGAAACUGAAAGCCAGUAUCCAGGACACACAGAAAGAAAGGAAUCAGACAGAAACAGAAACCACCACACUGAGAACUGAGAUUCAGCAGCUAAAUCGGGAACUGCAGGGUGUGCAUAAGCAGUGCAGAAAGACAGCCCAAGAACUUGCCAGUCAAGAUGAAAAACUUCUUCUAAUGGAAUCCAGCUUGAAAGGAACUCAAGAACAGCU